GGAGAUAGCUCAGUGGUAGAACACAUGCCCAACAUGCAUGAGAUUCUGGGUUCAAUCCCUAGUCCCGCCA
rnacentral:tRNA from 1 species